rnacentral:rRNA from 1 species
AAAACGACUCUCGACAACGGAUAUCUCGGCUCUCGCAUCGAUGAAGAACGUAGCAAAAUGCGAUACUUGGUGUGAAUUGCAGAAUCCUGUGAACCAUCGAGUCUUUGAACGCAAGUUGCGCCCCAAGCCGUUAGGCCGAGGGCACGCCUGCCUGGGUGUCACGC